UGCAACUACGAAGAGGUGGGGAAGGGCUCGAUUAGCUUUAUCUACGGUGCUGAUAAGAACUGAUAACAGGCUUUUAAUGGGCUGAUUUAAAGCGGCAGAUGUGAGAAAGGUGCCUUUCAUAAACUCAUAGAUUAACAGGAGAAUUUCUAGAAAUUACAACCAAUUUUAAUACCUCCUGGUUGUAAUAUCCACAUGACUUUUGACUAAUACUUACAAAAACCCAAAUAUUCUGUGUUGCUUUUGCUAUAAAAAAUGAAUUAUUUGGAGCUUUCACAUCAAAAUUUGAAGUGGUGACUCCUCGUAUCCGUCUUUAUCCACUGUUGCACUCUUGCCAAUCCACUCAAUAAAUGAAAAAAAGGCGAAAAACUGGCAGAAAGUUGGAGUGGGGGAUCACCAAAGUCGGCAAGAUUAAUGAUCCGUUGAAAAUCCAUCGAAUAUCCAUCAAAAAGAGUGAUGGGCCGACCAGGAGACUGGUCCACGCGGCCGAACCACGCUGACAGUGGAGAUAAAAUAUUAAUGCAGGACGGUUUAUAAUCUCUCGGAAAUGUUGUGCAUAAUAUUUUUCCGGCAUUCUGGGAGGUUUUCUUGCCUUCUCUCGUGGCGUCAUGCGGCACUCGCAUGCUGAGCCGUGCCCACAUUAAAAUUCAGAUUGAUCAACUCUUUCCCAUAAUUCAUUUCUCCUUUGGUAGGAACACUGUCACAAAGCAUAAGUGGCCAUGGAGUUGUUUGAUGCGCAUGAUAAUUAUUUUAGCCAUAUGCCAAAGCUUCCCCUGAUGUGUCAGAGAAGGAUGGAGGCUGCAGACAUGCGAAAAUUCUCCUCAUUCUUCAUUUACAUUCAUUAUUUUUUUUUCCAACAAUUCUUUUUGAUCUUGGUCAUUCCUUCAAAGCCCCCCUCACACACACACACACACAUACCAUUUAUGCCGGAGCCGGGGAAAGUGUCACUAUGGAAACAGGGGCAGAGGCAGCGGAGGGCUGUCUGUGGAGGCGAUGGGGGGAUAGGAGAUGAGGAGAGAAAAGGGCAGAAAGCUGGCCAGCGCAUAAAAAAAAAAAAAAAACUAGAGAGGGUGACAAAUUUAUCUUAUUCACCGGUUAAAACUACAUCCGUGGAAGUCUCAAGCUUUAUUUUCCCCUUUUUAUAAAAGUUGUUUUCCCACUAGAUCAUAAAGACAGGAAUAAUUAAAAUGAAGUUUCUGCAACAGUUAGAUGGAUAUAUUGGUGGAUUGUGUUUCAGGUGAUAAAAAAUGUGUAUUUUACAUCACAUUAACAUCAAAUCGGGCGUUUUGUAAGUAAAAAAUGACUCAUAUUAUAGAGCUUUCUGAACCACAAGAGCAAAAAUCUCUGCAGAAAGUGGCGAUAAAAGCCUUGAUUUUCUUUGUCACCCUUGAGUUUGAAGAGUCGGUUGGUGCAGGAGGUGCAAGACAAGAGAGAGCAGGUUAGAAGAGAAAAAAAAAAGGGGGAGGAGUAGAGGAGGGGGGAGAAAGGGGAGGGAUGUUUGAUAGUGAGAAGGGGCUUGAAUGGUAGCAGAGUGAGCCAGAAGCAAGGAGGAGGCAGUGAAGGAGCAGCUCCUGAGUCUCCAUCCUGGAGAAGACGGAGAAGAGCCGGCGGUCCUGCCUCAGCGGUCCUGAAGUUGCGAUCAUCCAUUGUGAGCUCAAGAGAACAUGAUGUACAGCUGAAGACUGGCCACCCUUAGAGCUCAGGGUUCUUCACUUGCUGACGGCGACAUCUGCGACAGCCGGAGCUGAAGCCACCAUCCUGACUUCAUAAAAAAGUGUUUGAGCAAAUAACAUUUACAUUCAUAAUGUAAAAAAAAAGUUUCCAACCCCCAUCCUCCAAUACAGAACUGCAAUUAAAUUAAGUCUUAAAGAAAAUGAUCCUCCUAUUAUGAGCAAGUGAGAAAGAAAGUUUGAAGUAAACUUGAAAAUAAUGAAUGCAUCAUGAAAAAAUACGGACUAAUACAAAGAUUACUUAAAACAGGUGACAUUUGACCAUGGAAUCUUAAAAGGAGAAUAAACUAAAAGAAAAAGAGGAAAAAUUUCACAAAAAAGACUUAACAUACCUAAAAAGCUAAUGGUUUUAUUACUAAAAGUAGUGUUACUUCUAAACCAUUUUACUAAAAACUAGCUAUGAGGCACAAAUCCAGCAUUUAUUAGAUAUUGUAAAGUUUUUUACGCAAUGUAAAGAAACAAAAUGCAGGUCAUAGUACAAUAGAUUGUGCUUCCUAUCUUCAAAAUACAUUUAAAAAAAGUUAUUCAUCCUGAAAAUCAUAAACAUUUUUUAAAAAUAUAUGUACCUAACGGAGCCUGUUUUUCAUUACUACAGCCCUUUAUAGAAUCUUUAAAAAAAAGUUCAUACGCUUCUAGAAAUGCAAAAAAGUGAAAAAAAAAUCAAAUAAAAAAAGUGAAACAUUGGGUCAAUUAACAAAAGUUAAUAUCAUAUUAAAAUUUUGAAUUGAUUGUUAACUCAAUUCAAAAGUUUAACUUGAUAUAAACUAAUAAAUGUAACGAAUUACAUAACUUUUCUUAAUUGAUCCAAUGUUUCACUUCGUUAGUGUCUUUUAUCUGCAUCUGCUCACAUAUAUUCAAAAAGUUGAAUGGUGUUUUCCAACCUGCUGAUAUUCUCCUUUUGAGGCUCCCAUCUGGCCCUCAUUGCUCAUAUAUAAGUUCAGCAUUAGAAUAUUUAGUUGAUAAUUAUGUUAGUCUUUUUCCCUUCAUUUUACCUCCUAAAAUUGGAACUCUAUGAGGCAUUCUUUGUAGAGUUGAAGAAAACAAAAGCACUCAUUUAUGUGUUUCUAGAGCUCCUCCUGUCACCAUUCAAGGGGCCCCAAAGUGCUAUACACAAAGUCAAAGUAAAUAAAUUAAUCAAUAAAUUAAAAUUAAAUAUAUAUCACCUGCACACCCUGUACAGUCAAGAAGGAGCCAGUACACGCACCUCACAAAAGUAUCACCUGUAUGUCAUUACUGGUAACUUACUUUAUAUUAUAGGACUAUGUCAGUGGCCUUGUGGUGGAGUGUCCGCUCUGAGACUGAAAGGUUGUGAGUUCAAAUCUACAGCCAAGUCAUACCAAAAACUCAGCAUUAAGAGGUUGGAUUGGGGGGUUAAACCACCAAAUGGUUCCGGAGCGCAGCUGUGUCUGCAGCUCACCCCUCCCCCAGGGGAUUGGCUCAAAUCCAGAGAACAAAUUUUACAAAUAAUGGGACUUUUUCCUUACAAAUACUUCACGAUAUGUCUACUACAUGCACGACAACGCACCCAUUUUCAUUAUGUCCUUUUGGGUAGUCUUGCCAGCCAAAAGGGGAACUGCAGGACACAUCUGCGCUCCUGUCCACGACCCUCCCCCGACAACCCAUAAACUUGUAGCACCCGCACAGGUGCAUGUGGGCAGGGCAUUGGGUUCAGGGUGGAUCAAAGACGGCCAAUGCGAAAAGUUUGGGGGGAAGAUAAGUUCUUACAUUUUUUACUAACCAACCGACAGCAGUUUUGAUUUUAACUGAAGUGUUUGAUUUAAGCACAUUUCUAGCACCAAGUGAAUAGAACUGCUCUUUUUUCUAUAUGCAUACAUUAGAUGUAAUAGCAAUCACCAGACUACAUCAAAACUCUAAUUUGAACAAGCCUAUUAACGGUCAUUAAUCUGAUGUCUAAUCAGAGACACUUUGGCCUUUAUUGUCAGCUGCAGCCUUUAAGGUCUCCACGGAAAGCCGAGCUCUUCCUGCAGUCUGAUUAGUGAGAUUAAAUCUGUUACCUCAUUGCCGAUUCUUCAUCUCAUGAGGUCGUUCAUGGCUGCCGGUGCCCUCCUCCACCUCCCCACCCUUGGCGCACCUACGUUGCAUUAUUAAACUUGAAUGAGAUCAUUAGCAUACAAAGCAGGAAACCUACUGCGGUGGAGUCAUACAUAUUUAUCUGGACGUGCCUGGCUUGUGCGUGCACACACUUGUACUGUAACCGCCCUCAAUCCCCCCCGCACACCACCAACGCCCUCCCCUCCUUAUCGGCACGCAAGUGUGGUUGGCUUUCUGGUGCAGUGGAGCGUUAAGUACAGACUAUUAAAUGAAUAUUAAUAUCUGGUUUAGCGAAGAUAUUUAUCUUGGAGCCAUCAAGAAAACAGAAACUUUAAAAGAACUCGAAUCAUGAAGCAAAUUUAUCUUCUAUUAAACACAAAAUUAGACUCAAAAGUGAACUCCCAUUUUCUCUCCUUCCCAUUUAACCUUCCCCUUCUAAAUUAACUUUCCACUCAGCCAUGCACCCUGCGCCAUAAAGAUCAGUUUCUGCUCUUCUUUCCUUCCAGCUGAGAGAACAACUCCCUCCUUUUAUGACCACAAGGAAUCUUCUAUUAGUAUGCUUUCCUCCUUCCCUCUGUUCCCUUCCUCCUGUGAGAUUGCUGUUGUGUCUUAUGGCUUUUUAUUCCUACGUGAUGGUAGAUGGGUUCAUGUAGGAGUAGAAGCCACUAAACACGCGGUGAGUGCUCAACACCCUGGCCAACACACGCAGAGAGCUUCCUGUGGAUAUGACAGCUGCCAUGUUCACAUCAGUGUCCUGCCUAUUAUCCAGAAUGGGACAGAGAAAUCACCAAGAAAACAAUUGAGCUUUACUUAUAAAACAUUUCAAUUAUGCAUCUAAUUUGGUUUUAUAUUUGUGGUUUCUACACAACAGAGCACCGCUCACUGUUUGUUUAAGCUCAGAAGUCCGCCUGACCAAACCCUCACGUGAACAGACCUACUUUCCCCACCUGCAUGUCGGCUGCAUGUGUCCUGAAUUUCAAAUUCGUCUCUUUUCUUCCUCUGCCCCGGGGUCAUACUGAGAAAAAGAAAAAAAAAUGGAGAUCGGAAAGAGAGGAUACAACCAGAGAAGUGAAACAUUUGGCACAGUUUGAGUCUUAAAGGUAAAGAGAGGACAGAAAAUCCUGGAUCUAAUGUUAGACACAUGAAGGGGUUUAUAAUAUUAUUCAGGCUAUGAAGGAACAUUUGUAAACAAAUAUAAGUAGAGAGUGAUCUUAAGGUGACUUCCCGCCGGCUGUGUUUGUGUAACAAGGACAAGUACAUCUGGCGUGAAUUUUGAUGUCCUCCACAAACCUUGGUCGGGGUCAUCGUCAGUUUGCUGCAUUUAUAGUACCCGCCCUGUGUAUGGGUACAAACUGUUCCAGCUGCCCUAUUGACUGUUCCAAAUCAGAAUUAAACCCUGUAAUAGUUAUGUAGGUAGGUGAGGUAGGUGUUUGUGUAGCCCAUGGGAGGACAACAUUUUUGACUUGUGGGCCACAAUGUUCUAAAAUUUGACAGAAGGAUGGAACAAGGACCAGAAAGGUGGUGAUUAUUGGUAAUCCACGCCAUAAGUUCAAGAAAUAACAUUGAAUCUGGAAAAAAAAAAAACAUUUUUUAAUUUUAUUAAAAUAUAAUAUAAAAAAUAAAAUUGAGUUUUUAUUCAAAACUGUGGCUUUAGUUAUCACUUUAGAGCCAUUGGGCUGAUGUCCCUCAGGGAAAAAUCCAAACUUAGGGUGUAUUCAGACUUGUAAAAUCAUUUGUUCCAGUUUGAGUCUGCCUAAUUUGUCCUAAACUUUACGUUUGGUCUGUUUUCAAACUAGGGUCUACCGGAGAUUUAUAUUCUAGACCAAAACUUGUAGACGAAACCACGUGACUAAAGAUCUCUUCAAUCAUUGGGCAGCAGUUGCUGGUGAGGGUCAAAUAGUUUGCAGUUUGCAAAUACUUGUCAAGAUUAUUUACUUAUUCAAACUUCUUAUUUUGCUGAUCAAUUUUGAACGUCCUGCAACUUUGGUACGGUGGAGGCAUGCUGCAUGGCGGUUAGUGAGGACGCCACGGCUACGAGGUACACUAAUACAUUUUUAUGAGAUACAGAUUGUCGGGAAAACAAUGUGAGAAGCAAUGUCUAUCACAUUAAAAGCUGCCAAUUGACCACAUUUUAAUGAGUUGCAACACUACUGUUCCAUGUUUGUCCGCUAUUGACCGGCUACAGUGGCCAUUUUGGUUCAGUUGUUCCGGUUCCAGCACAGGCCGUAUUCAGACUGAAGGAUCUCAGGGCAAAUCGAAGUUCAGCCCGAUUGGAAACGAACCAAGACCACCUCGAACGAUGGGUCCAGGAGCAGUUCCCAGUCCCAGACCAGGAUUCGCUUGCGUACAUUCAGGCUAAAACUUUGUUCCGGAUUAUUGGGGAAAACGAACUCUGGUUCAAGCGGACCAAAUAUGUCAGGUCUGAAUACACCCUUGGAGAAAUACUACAUCGGCGUGGUCUUGGAAAUGAACUUGGAAAACGCCAGAAAAACAUCAAAUCUUGAAUUAAUUUAUUUGUUUGUAGAGCACCAUCUAUGGAGAGACUCCAGAAUUACAGGGAAAAUAAAAUAUGAAUAAGGGUUAUUAUCGAUACGAUUGAUUUAAGAAUAGUUUAACAGCCUACUGUUGUAGCCUAUUUAUUUAUCAAUUUUACAUUUAAUUAAAUUUCUGACAAAAAUUGCAUAAUUUUUAAUGGCAAUGAAAAUUUCUUGAAUCUUCAGAAAGAAAAAAUGUCUACUAAUUUAUUUAUGCAUUAAUUACAUACAUUACAUAAAGUGUCCAUGAAGUUGGUAUUUUGAUCUAAAUUAGUCCCAGAUUUCCAAAUAUAUAUUUAGUUUAUACAACUAGGGUUCUAAUGAGUCAUUAAAAAUCUAAUUCAUAUGGUUGUUCCUUGUGUUAAUGUACAUUUUCUAUGGUUCUAAAUAAAAUUAUAGAGGAAAUAAGGACUACACAAAUAUGUUUUGGUAAGUAUUGUAAAAAAAUAUAUAUCUCCAAAGUCAACCAAGCCCACAAGUUUGCUGCAUGUUUAAGAAAUGUGAGGUAAAACUGUAUUGUUUCACAACAGGAACUACAUUUAUUAAUUUACUUAAUGUUUUUGUAAACUUUUCAAAUAGUUUGAACCCCUUAUUUGACCCCCAAAACCUCUUGAACCCACUUUUAGCUGAACGCAAGCCCUUCAUUUUCCUUACUUUUAAUUUACAUCCACUUUCAGGCGCGCCAAAAGUGGUAUUUAUAUAUCAUCACUGGCUUUUCAGCUGGAGCUGAACUCCGUGUCAACUAAUUAAGCAGGCAAAUCAAAUCACUCUGCUGGUGAGUCCAUUUGGGUGCUGUGGGGGUUUGGGUUUAAAUGUCAGACGAGUUUGGUGCCAAAGAAGCUCCUGGCCCUUUUUUUUGUCUGAACAGAAUCUAUAUAAAGCUUAAAUGAAAUGAAACCCAAAAAAGGCUGAAUUAUUAAUCUCCGGAUAAUACAAAAUUCUGACAAAUGUUUGCAAUUGCGAGACCAUACUUAAGCGCCGAUAUGAGGCGGGUGAUUAUUCAAGGUUUCUGAAAUUGAAAUUGGAUGAGGGCUGAUGAAGUCUAAUGAUUUAUUUAAGGCGGUAAGUUGUUAUGAUCUAAUAUUCAGUGGGAGGGUUUCUUUAGCUUGCAUUAUCUGUUCAAUUUAUUUCUCAGGUUCCCACUCCCACACAGGCCUUUUUUCCCCCUUUAUUAAGUCACAAGGGGGGUCUGAGAGAAUAGUUAAACAGCAAACAUACAUUGAGGGGCGCCGAAGCAGGUUUUCAUUUGAACUCAGUGGGACUCCAAAGGUAAAAAUCAAUAAUGACUGUAUCCGUGAUAAAGAGGUAGUAUUAUCUAAAACAGCUCAGGAAUGUGAGGGAGGGGGGCUGUGGUUGAAUAGAUUGCUCUUCCAUCUCCCCUGAAGGUGCGUUUCAUCAUUACAAUCGGACUGUGCUGCAUGUCUCAAAUUCAUGAAUUCUUUAAAUGAUUGGUGAAAUAAGAGAGCGUGGCCUCAUUUUCAUUGUGACAGAUGAGCAAUUUUUUUUAUUAUAGUGUCACGGCUUUCUGAGUUAUGAUCUAACUGUGUCAAACUAUCCUCACAUUUGGGAAGAAAAUCUGAAAAUAAUCAAGUAUGUUCCUCUGGCAACUGCAAUAAUUUAGUGUGUUUGUGUACAGUGAGUUUCAUGCCAACGUGUUGUUCUAUUUUAUCCCACCCCCCCUCAAGCUACACUUUGAUAUUCCCAAUAAUUAAUAAUGCUCUUUUGUCUUCUGUGAUGUUAAAUAAAUUAUGAAUUACACCAGUUCAACCUGCUGCAUUGCUCUUGUUUCAUUUCAGUCGAGCUAUUUCUUUUUUUUAAUGUUUUAUUUUUUUCAAAAUGUCACACUCACAAGCUACAAAGAUGCACACCAGACCUCAAAUUUCCUUUUCUUGCCUGUUUUCAAUAAAUUGAGAUAUUUUACAUG